rnacentral:rRNA from 1 species
GGGCCGGUAGGUUGGUCGUGCCACCGGUACGUACUGGUCUCACUGAUUCCUCCUUCCUGAAGAACCGUAAUGCCAUUAAUUUGGUGUUGCGGGGAAACAGGACUGUUACUUUGAAAAAAUUAGAGUGUUUAAAGCAAGCUAACGCUUGAAUACAUUAGCAUGGAAUAAUGAAAUAGGACGAUCGAUCCUAUUUUGUUGGUUUCUAGGAUUGACGUA